rnacentral:rRNA from 1 species
CGUUUAGCUCCGCUGCUUCCAAUGCUAGUCUCCAAAUGUCAGAGCACUUUUGUGCAAAAGCGGUGCAUCCACGAUAACUUCUUGCAUGUUCAGAAUUUGGUGAAGGAACUACAUCGCACUUCAACGCCUGGCCUCUUCCUUAAGUUGGGCAUCUCUAAGGCUCUCGACUCCGUGGGCUGGGCCUACCUACUGGAGGUACUUCAGCAGCUGGGAUUCAGCCAUCGUUGGCGAGACUGGAUUUGCAUGACACCCGCAUCAUCUUCCUCCAAAAUCCUGUUGAAUGGGGACCCAGGCAGCCCUUUUGCUCACGCAUGUGGUCUGCGCCAGGGUGACCCCCUGUCCCCCAUGCUAUUGAUCCUGGCCAUCGAUCCUCUUCAGCUCAUGCUUCGGGCGGCUACCCAGGCAGGGAUCCUCAAGUCGAUCAAGGCUCAUUCGGCUUCCUACAGAAUCUCCCUCUACGUCGAUGAUGCUGGCAUCUUCGCCAAUCCGGUCAAGGAAGAGCUAGACGCCAUUGCCGGCAUCUUGGCUUGUUUUGGACAGGCAUCGGGCCUCAUCACUAACGUGACCAAGACGGAGGUGUUUUCCAUUCGUUGCCAAGGGAUUGAUCUGGUCAACAUCCUUUCGGGCUUCCCUAUGAAGAUCGCCUCCUUCCCUACCAAGUACUUGGUCCUCCCUCUGCAUACAGGGCGGCUUAAAAGGGUUGACCUUGUGACGCCCAGGUAA